AGUACGAAGCGGAGGAACAAAGUGCCGAUGCUGGACCAGGCCGUGGCGGGCGGGACUUCAUUGGGGGCGGAACCCUGGGGAUCCCUUGGAGAAAUGAGGAAACUGAGAGGUAUCCUGGCACCACAGCUCCGUUUAACACUGUACUGCACCCUGGGAGACGUGUGGAUGUUAGCAGAGGACAUGAGGUUUCCAAAAUCUAAGACUCAGGCUGCACCCUUCCACUGAGCGGCCCUAGGAUGCCGACCAGAGUCAGACUUCCAGAAUGUUCUUGAAUACAAAGAAGGCUCAUGGAAUUUAGAGUAAAGGAAUGUUUUUUGUUGUUUUUUUGGGUACUGGGGAUCAAACUCAGGACCUUGCACUUGCCAGGCAGGUG